GUAGGUGGCAAGCGUUGUCCGGAAUUAUUGGGCGUAAAGCGCGCGCAGGCGGUUCUUUAAGUCUGAUGUGAAAGCCCACGGCUCAACCGUGGAGGGUCAUUGGAAACUGGAGAACUUGAGUACAGAAGAGGAAAGCGGAAUUCCACGUGUAGCGGUGAAAUGCGUAGAGAUGUGGAGGAACACCAGUGGCGAAGGCGGCUUUCUGGUCUGUAACUGACGCUGAAGCGCGAAAGCGUGGGGGAGCAAACAGGAUUAGAUACCCUGGUAGUCCACGCCGUAAACGAUGAGUGCUAAGUGUUAGGGGGUUUCCGCCCCUUAGUGCUGCAGCUAACGCAUUAAGCACUCCGCCUGGGAGUACGGCCGCAAGGCUG
rnacentral:rRNA from 1 species